rnacentral:lncRNA from 1 species
AUGCUCCGGCAGGAAAAUACAGCACUCCGGUUGUCCCCGGGCAGAGCGGGACUGCACCCAGCACGCCGUGAGCAAUACGGACCGACGGCGCUCUGGGCGAUGCUUCAACCCAGGCUCUCCGGACGAGCAGCGCGCCUCCCUGAACUUACAAGCAUCGCAGCGCGCAGCCCUCAGCCCGGCUCGCGUAGCGCUCAGACGGGAGGAACGCACGCAGUUUCGAGACGCAUCGCCCGCUCUGCCCAACUUCCCUCGCCAGUAAAGCCGCCCCGGCCACGGCCGCGCUCUCGGAGCGGGAAAAGGCUCCGGCCCCGCGGGCUGCGCCGCGCCCCGAGCGGGAGAGCGCCUCAAGGACGGCGUGCGCCCCGCGGCCCCGCUGCCGGCUGCUUUCGCUGCGCGCGGCUCGCGGAGACCGAGGGACGCCGCGGAGGGCAGCGCCGAGCCCCGCAGCCCCGGACUUCAGCAACUCCCGACGAACCCGCCGCCGCUGCAGGAGCGCCAACCCCAGCGGCGCUCCGCAGCCCCGCUCCCCCCGAAGGAGCGCAGCGCGCCGCCGCUGCCCGGCGCCUUCCCCCGCCUGAGGGGAGCGAGCAAACCGCCCCAAAGCGGCGCCGCCGAGCCGCGGCCGCGAGACGGACCGCGCCUCGCUACCUCUCCUCGCUCCGCCAAGAGAAGGGAAGGGGAGCGGGCCGUCCCGUCUCGUCCCGUCCCGUCUCGUCCCGUCCCGUCCCGCAGCGCUGCCGUCCCCCGCUGGCUGGCGCCGGGCUGCGGCCACCAGUUGCGCUUCCACCCCGCGCAGCUGCGGUACCUCGGGCAGGACGCGAGAAGAAGUGCCGUCACCGCUGCACGAGUCCGGUCGCAGAGCAACAAGUGAGCGCGCGGAAGGAAGGAAGGGAGGGAGGGAGGGAUGGAAAGGAAGGAGGGAAGGGCACGGCGCCUCCUCGCCUCAGCCCGCCCCGCCGGCGCUGCCGGUGCAGCCGCUCUGCGCUCCGCCGGCCCCGGCUGCCGCCACGCGCCGCGCACGCGAAACGCGAUCACGAGCCCGCCCCGCUCUCGCGCACUCUUGAGCCGCGCGGGGCGCCGUAG